GUAUGUUUUAGGAAAAUAAGUUGUAUAUUUUUAAAGUUACAACAUGUGUGUAAAAACUGUAUAUUUUCUGCCUGUGAUAAUUAAGUUAGUCUAUUGUGUUGAGAUAAUUGUAUCACAGGCAGAGGGGAGAUGUGUGGGAGGUAACAUGUAUCUGAUUGGUGACUGUACUAAGUAUUGUGGGUGCCUCCCUUGCAGUGAGAGAGAGGCAUAAAAGCA